rnacentral:rRNA from 1 species
GACGAACCGUGCAAACGUUGUUCGGAAUCACUGGGCUUAAAGGGCGCGUAGGCGGGCGGCCAAGUCAGGGGUGAAAUCUUUCGGCUCAACCGGAAAAUUGCCUUUGAAACUGGCUGUCUCGAGGGAGGUAGGGGCAUGUGGAACUUCCGGUGGAGCGGUGAAAUGCGUUGAUAUCGGAAGGAACGCCGGUGGCGAAAGCGACGUGCUGGACCUCUUCUGACGCUGAGGCGCGAAAGCUAGGGGAG